rnacentral:rRNA from 1 species
UACGGGGGGGGGCAAGCGUUGUUCGGAAUUACUGGGCGUAAAGGGCGCGCAGGCGGCUUGGCAAGUCGAGUGUGAAAUCCCUUGGCUUAACUAAGGAAUGGCGCUCGAAACUACCUCGCUAGAGGACGGGAGAGGGAAGUGGGAACUCUCGGUGUAGGGGUGAAAUCUGUAGAUAUCGAGAGGAACACCGGUGGCGAAGGCGGCUUCCUGGCCCGUAGCUGACGCUGAGGCGCGAAAGCGUGGGGAGCAACAGG